AGGAUGAACGCUGGCGGCGUGCUUAACACAUGCAAGUCGAACGAUGAACACCGGAGCUUGCUCUGGUGGGAUUAGUGGCGAACGGGUGAGUAACACGUGAGUAACCUGCCCCAGACUCUGGGAUAAGCACUGGAAACGGUGUCUAAUACCGGAUACAACCCUCCACCGCAUGGUGAGGGGGUGAAAGAAUUUCGGUCUGGGAUGGACUCGCGGCCUAUCAGGUAGUUGGUGAGGUAACGGCUCACCAAGCCGACGACGGGUAGCCGGCCUGAGAGGGUGACCGGGCCGACGACGUGGGACUGGAGACACGGCCCAGACUCCUACGGGAGGCAGCAGUGGGAAUAGUUGCACAAUGGGCGCAAGCCUGGAUGCAGCAACGCCGCGUGAGGGACGAAGGCUCGGUGUAACCUCUUUAGAGGAAGAAGCGAAAGUGACGUACUGCAGAAAAGCGACG
rnacentral:rRNA from 1 species